UGCUCAUGCUGUCCCUGCCCCCUGAAAAGCAAUUCUCACUCCAAAAUGCUGAGUCCAGUGAACUCAGACAUGAGAUUGGGCCUGAUUUAAUAGGUGCUGUGCCAACACAAAGAACGGCCAGGGCUGCAUGUCUCUGCUGAAUUUUAAGGAACGCAUUUCUUGGAUGAUUUUUUUUCAAGGACUCAGGUCAGGAAGAAUCUACCCCAAGGGUAGUUGGAG
rnacentral:lncRNA from 1 species